rnacentral:tRNA from 1 species
GGAGGGAGAGCUCAGUGGUGGAGCGUGUGCUUAGCAUGCCUGAGUCCCGGGGUUCAAUCCCCAGCACCUCCG